UCGGAUGUGGUGUAUGGUGCACGGCCUCUAAGAGUAUUGGUGACACUGUAACAAUUCUAUAAAAGGCAGGACGGGGUUCAACUCCCCGCGUUCGAA